CUUUGGGGGCGUAGGAUGGGGGCUCGGGGCUGGCGGAGGUCCCCGGGCACUGGCCGGCCGGCCAGCUUCGCCAAGCCCAGCCGGAGCGGGCCGCCUUCCCCAGAGCGGGGCUUUCCCGUUUUACGGGGAUGAGCUCACCGGGGCCUGUAGCCAAUGAGGCGGCGGCAGCCGGCGGAGCUGGGGAAUUCCAGAGCCGUCGCCUCCUCGCCGUCUCCCUUGACUGGGGCUUUGGGGGAGCGAGCCCAGCGCGGGGAGCCGAGCUCCAGGCCCCGCCAUGCGGGACACCAGGGGACGGCAGCCGCGGCCGGAGGAGCUGCCUCUCCCGCGGGGUGCUGCUCUUCCAGACCCUGGCCUGGUCAUGGCACAUACAGCGCAGGCCUCUGGUAAGGGAGCUGCGAUCUCAGAUGAAGAUGAGUUAGGUGAGUGGACUCUGGGAAACGGGGGUACAGCAACCUCAGGUAAGUGCAAAUGCUCUAGGCCCAUGCGAGUGCAGACCCAGUGCAAGGAACCCUGGCUGGAGCAAAGGGGGCAAAUCUCAUGUAAGUGUGGUCUGCAGGGGAAGGGACAAUGCAAGGCAAAUCCUGCAGUCCUGCCUCAUGCACCUUCCCCAUGAAAUCAAUUCCAGGACUUCAGCGUUGGGCCCAAAGAGCAAGUAAGGGAAUUCCUGGGAAAUGGGACCACAUACAAGCCACUGCUUGCAGGGAUGCCUCCUGCAGCAUCCCAGGGAUCCACCUGCAUGCUUUCCAAACUGCUGCGGGGCCUGGCAGCCAGGAAAACAGUGAGGGUGCUACAAAGCUCACACAAGCUGAGAAGAGUGAUCUCAUCAGUUAUCAUUCCAUACAUCCAACUUCUACCACUAGGAAAACAGUGGGACGUCCGGGAAUAUGAGAGGCAAACAAGUACGUUAAGAAUGCUUGGCCUUCACCUCCGCUCCUGGCUCCUCAGCCAGCUUUCUGGCCAUGGGAUGAUAUUUGUAGCCAAAAAGCCACUGCCCUGAGCAAAUACCAGCUUCGUGCCCAUGAGAGAGAAGAGGCAGUUCUUAACCCUGGCACAGGCUGUCUCUUUAAGGCAGGACCCACAAUUAAGAGGGCUCUGUCAGAAACUGGGUUAGGACUUAAAAAAAUUGAUUGGUUAGUUUAAAAAAAAGGGAGUUAAUAGUGUUCCUUGAACGGAGGCUCUGAUCUAGUGGUAAAGCAGAGUGGAAGCUCUGGCGUUGUUCUCUCCUUACACUCUCUUAGGCCGAUGCUUCUCCAUAUGGCCUGGUCCAUACGCAGAGUUGCACCGGUUUAGCUGAAAGCAUGCCACAAAGUGCAGUGUUUGUGUGGGGACGCUGAUGUCAGGUUCCACCUGGUUUAGCUCGCAGUGAUGCCAGCCAUGUUCAGACUGAGAGUGGACGAGGGUCUGCACUCAGAGUUGCACCGAUGUCUCUAACCUGAUACAGCGUCACACCUUUACCUGAACUGGUGCGCCAGGGGCCUUUUUCAUAGUCCAAGCGCAGAAGGAACCAUUGAGAUCAUGUAGUCUGACCUCCUGUAUACCAGAGGCUGCAGGGCGCCCUGAAUGCUAGGGCUGCAGGGAGGUUGGGCAGACAGUUCUAGUGGGAGAGGUGCCUGAGUGUUAGGGCCAUGAGGUGGGCAGGUGGGCAGGCCAGUCAAUUGGGUGAAGGACCUGGGUGGUAGGGCUGUGGGCUGGCAGGCCUAGUUGGUAGGGCAUCUGGGUGCUAGGGCUGUGGGGAGGGUGGGCCAAUCAGGUGAGGCACCAGGGCUGCGUGGCGGGUGGGCUGAUCAAGUGAGUUGUCUGUGCGCCAGGGCUGUGGGGAGGGUGGGCCCACUGGGCGAGGUGCGUGAGUGCUAGGACUGCUGUGAGGACGAGGCACCUGGGCGCCAUGGCUGCGGGGAGGGUGGGUCCAUCGGGCGAGGCACCAGGGCUACAUGGAGGGUGGGCCCAUCAAGCAAAGGGUUUGAGCACCAGGGCUGGGGAGGGGCCCAUCAGGCAAGGUGCCUGAGUGACAUGGCUGCUGGGAGGACAGGCUGAUCAGGUCUUGCGCCCAGGCCCCAGGGCUGCGGGGAGGGCGAGGCACUUUGGCCCCAGAGGCCGGGCCAAUUGGGUGAGGCACCUGCAUGCUAGGGCUGCAGGGAGGGCAAGGCACCUGGGUGCCAAGGCUGCGGGGAGGGCAGGCCGAUCGGGUGAGGUGCCCAAUGGUAGGGCUGUAGGGGGGGCGGCAAGGCCCAUCGGGUGAGGCACCUGGGCCUCAGGGCUGUGGGUAGGGCGGACCGACCUAAUGCAUGAGGUGAGUGAGUGAGGGGCAGGGAUGCUUAGGCAAGUGCCGUGAAGCAUCUUGGCCAGAUUCCCUGCUGCUUGGCGCGUGAGCAGUCGCUGACUUCAGUAUAAAGUGUCCAAGUGUUAUUCUUCAGUCAGGACUGAGGUGUUUCUGAGAGACCUGCUCUAGCUCGAACAGGAAUGAAUUCAUGGAAGCCCUGUGGCCCCUGUUACAUGGGAGGUCAGACUGGAUGUUCAGGAUGGUCCCUUCUGACCUCACACUCUUGGUCUCUGUGAAGGCAGAUGUGAAACGCUCCCAGAGUGGAGCAGGAGCACUCGUCUCUGGCGUAGCUGGCACUGGCCCUGCAGGGCAGCGACAAAUCAAGCUCAUUGCUUUUUGGUAUCUC
ensembl:lncRNA